CGUUGCUGAUCAGGUUUUAACGGA
rnacentral:siRNA from 1 species